CUACACGGAUAACUGUGGUAAUUCUARAGCUAAUACGUGCAAACGGCUCGUUCCCUUGUGGAGCGAGCGCAGUUAUUAGAACAAAACCAAUCCGGCCUUCGGGUCGGUUAAAAUGGUGACUCUGAAUAACCGAAGCGGAGCGUAUGGUCUCGUACCGACGCCAGAUCUUUCAAGUGACUGCUCUAUCAGCUUGUUGCUAGGUUAUGCUCCUAGCAAGGCUUCAACGGGUAACGGGGUAUCAGGGUCCGAUACCGGAGAGGGAGCCUGAGAAACGGCUACCACAUCCAAGGAAGGCAGCAGGCGCGCAAAUUACCCACUCCCAGCACGGGGAGGUAGUGACGAAAAAUAACGAUGCGAGGGCAUAUUGCUUCUCGUAAUCGGAAUGGGUACACUUUAAAUCCUUUAACGAGGAUCUAUUGGAGGGCAAGUCUGGUGCCAGCAGCCGCGGUAAUUCCAGCUCCAAUAGCGUAUAUUAAAGUUGCUGCGGUUAAAAAGCUCGUAGUUGGAUCUGGGCAGCUGGAUGUGCGGUGCGCUUUACAGCGUUACUGCUCGUUUGGCGCCACAAGCCGGCCAUGUCUUGCAUGCUCUUCACUGCGUGUGCUUGGCGACCGGAACGUUUACUUUGAAAAAAUUAGAGUGCUCAAAGCAGGCGUAUGGCCUUGCAUAAUGGUGCAUGGAAUAAUGGAAUAGGACCUCGGUUCUAUUUUGUUGGUUAUCGGAGCUCGAGGUAAUGAUUAAGAGGAACAGACGGGGGCAUUC
rnacentral:rRNA from 1 species